rnacentral:lncRNA from 1 species
AGCAAGGUUCAUGUCUGGAGAAACAUCAAGCACUGAUCACUAGUCUUGGAUUCUUCAGAAAGAUAAACAAAGCGACAAGUCGCAGUAUGUUGGAUUCCACCUCAUUCUUCCUUAGUCCAUAAGUUUGAGUUCACUCUUGUGGAGGCUGGCGCAGUGAUUCAGCAGUGGAUCUCUCACUGACCCCUUAAACCAGUUUGAACAAAAAGCACGUUGUGUGCACACGGUGUGAGGCAAUUCUUGCACUGCCUUAGUAUCAAUUUCCAACAUCAAUUAGCAGAUAUCAAUGGAAGUUUCUGAUUCAUUCAAGAACUUGCAAGAAUCGACAUGUGACUUCGAAGCUUUUGAUCGGAUUACAAACUAUUCCAAGGAGAUCAAAUAGAUGCUUUUCGAGACCAUGAUCAGUCGCAGUCACAUUAUUCUAAAGAACCAUAUUUUGAUCGGAAUAAUCUAUAUAUGCUUUUCUCCACUUGGUUGUUUCCUUCCUGCUUCUUGCUUUUAGGAGCAAUUGUCAAACAUGGUGUUCUUCAUGUUUCCAGGACAAUUAACGUCACCUUAGAGGAAGUAGGAAGAUUCGAAACAACUCAUUAGAGAAAAUUAUAUAGUGCAAGAACAAACACAUAAAACACAUCUUCACCUGUGGCAUAUUCAUUAAUUUGUGCUCCUUGUAGUGCACUUGUAAUUGUUGUGGUAUUUGCCCAUCCAAAUGUGCCACAUGAAAACCAUCAAACAGGAGUCAGUGUGGUGGCUUUAGUAAAGCAAAGAAGCAUCCCAUUGCCUCACA